ensembl:lncRNA
GUUGUUUGAUGUCUCCCGAGUGUGUCGGGUUCCUGUCAGCGUUCCAGUCUCGUGCUUCGUAUCGUGUUCCUGUGUUUCUGAGUUCGUUGUCGCCGGAUCUCUCUACCUCUGGGCUCACCAUCAUCCCUCUCCCCGGGGUACAGGCUGACCACCCCGUCCAUGCGCCACCCACCACCAGGAAGAUCUCGGAAGCUUGAGGACUGCAAUUAUUGACUCUGACAUAAUAAACCCCAGAACAUUUUCCACUGAGCGAGCAUGUUCCUGCAUGGGCCGGCUGACCGGGUCGAGAAGGAGAUCUGGACCUUCCCACAACCCUGAACGACCUAAUUGGACUGGCACUUCGGGUGGAUGCACGACUAUCCAGUCGCGCAGUGUUCUGGGCCCAGCCGGAUUCCUGUGGAGGAGAGGAUCGGCGGUUCAGCGGCGGGGACACGGUCCGUUCCGGCUACGAUCACGAGCCUAUGCAGGUCCUGAGAACCUGGCUUUCCCGGAAGGAGAGGCGGCGGUCCCAAGGCCUUUGCUUGUACUGCGGCGCAGCGGGACAUUACGCGUACAACUGCCUGGUAAAAGGCCAAGCCCGGCAGUAAGUUUGAGGCUACCGUCGGGUGGGAUCUCCGCUGAGAAGACCUCAUCAAAUUCUACGUUCCUUCCGGUAAGACUGAGAUGGUCAAGCCACACGCACGACUGUCAAGCCCUGGUGGAUUCCAGAGGGUAGUUUUCUGGACCAUGCCCUUGCACUCAAGCUUAAUAUUCCCCUUCUACCCCUCACCCACAAGAUAUCGGUUCACGCACUAAACGGUCAAGACCUACCCAACAUUUUGCUCACCACCGGACCCAUGACACUCAUCACCUCAGGCAACCACUCCGAGACCCUUUCCUUUUAUGUCCUGGACUCUCCGCUCGCUCGCUCCCGUAGUUCUGGGACAUCCCUGGCUCACCCAACAUAACCCCAAGAUGGCAGCAGAAGUCGGUGUCUGAGUGGAGCGGUAGAUGUCAUGAGUCCUGUCUGGUAUCUGCCUGUCCGUCUGUUUCUGUCUCUGUGUUCCAGGAGGAGGCGGUGGACUUGUCUAACGUGCCCGCGGAGUACCUCGGUCUAAGGGAGGUGUUCAGUAAGUCUUGGGCUGCUUCCCUGCCCCCGCAUCGCCCUUAUGACUGUGCUAUCGAGUAAUUACCUGAUAAAUCUCCUAAGGGCAAGUUAUAUUCACUUUCGGCUCCAGAGAGUGAAGCAUUGGAGAAAUAUAUUUCUGAUCCUCUAGCAGCAGGGUUCAUCCGCCAUUCCUCUU